UGACGAGUGGCGAACGGGUGAGUAAUAUAUCGGAACGUACCAUUCAGUGGGGGAUAACGUAGCGAAAGUUACGCUAAUACCGCAUAUUCUGUGAGCAGGAAAGCAGGGGAUCGCAAGACCUUGCGCUGAUUGAGCGGCCGAUAUCAGAUUAGCUUGUUGGUGAGGUAAAAGCUCACCAAGGCGACGAUCUGUAGCGGGUCUGAGAGGUUGAUCCGCCACACUGGAACUGAGACACGGUCCAGACUCCUACGGGAGGCAGCAGUGGGGAAUUUUGGACAAUGGGGGCAACCCUGAUCCAGCCAUGCCGCGUGAGUGAAGAAGGCCUUCGGGUUGUAAAGCUCUUUCAGCCGGGAAGAAAACGCAUGGGUUAAUACCCUGUGUGGAUGACGGUACCGGAAUAAGAAGCACCGACUAACUACGUGCCAGCAGCCGCGGUAAUACGUAGGGUGCGAGCGUUAAUCGGAAUUACUGGGCGUAAAGCGUGCGCAGGCGGUUUUGUAAGACAGGCGUGAAAUCCCCGGGCUUAACCUGGGAACUGCGUUUGUGACUGCAAAGCUAGAGUACGGCAGAGGGGGGUGGAAUUCCACGUGUAGCAGUGAAAUGCGUAGAGAUGUGGAGGAACACCAAUGGCGAAGGCAGCCCCCUGGGUCGAUACUGACGCUCAUGCACGAAAGCGUGGGUAGCAAACAGGAUUAGAUACCCUGGUAGUCCACGCCCUAAACGAUGUCAACUAGGUGUUGGGAGGGUAAAACCUUUUAGUACCGUAGCUAACGCGAGAAGUUGACCGCCUGGGGAGUACGGCCGCAAGGUUAAAACUCAAAGGAAUUGACGGGGACCCGCACAAGCGGUGGAUGAUGUGGAUUAAUUCGAUGCAACGCGAAAAACCUUACCUACCCUUGACAUGUCAGGAACUUGCCAGAGAUGGCUUGGUGCCCGAAAGGGAACCUGAACACAGGUGCUGCAUGGCUGUCGUCAGCUCGUGUCGUGAGAUGUUGGGUUAAGUCCCGCAACGAGCGCAACCCUUGUCGUUAAUUGCCAUCAUUUAGUUGGGCACUUUAACGAGACUGCCGGUAACAAACCGGAGGAAGGUGGGGAUGACGUCAAGUCCUCAUGGCCCUUAUGGGUAGGGCUUCACACGUCAUACAAUGGUCGGUACAAAGGGUCGCCAACCCGCGAGGGGGAGCCAAUCCCAGAAAGCCGAUCGUAGUCCGGAUUGCAGGCUGCAACUCGCCUGCAUGAAGUCGGAAUCGCUAGUAAUCGUGGAUCAGCAUGUCACGGUGAAUACGUUCCCGGGUCUUGUACACACCGCCCGUCACACCAUGGGAGCGGGUUCCGCCAGAAGUAGGUAGCCUAACCGCAAGGAGGGCGCUUACCACGGCGGGGUUCGUGACUGGGGUGAAGUCGUAACAAGGUA
rnacentral:rRNA from 1 species